rnacentral:lncRNA from 1 species
AUGUGUUUUAUCAAAGGAUUCAGUUUUGUAUGGAAUUCUGCAGAACACGAAUACUUUUUGGAUGCAAUGAACAGAAUUCUUCAGAACAAUGACAUUUCGGAGGAGAAGUGGGUUAAAGAAGCGUCUGUUUUCAACAGGAAUUUAAGACAACAAUUGACUGCUAAAGAUAAAGAAACACCUAAAAACGCCCUUAAUCCAGAUUUCCCAAGAAAGAGUCCGCUGUGCAGGGUGAUGCUUCAGUUCCUGCAGAAGAACAUCAUCAUCGCUGCCAUCACGAUGACGGCAAUCAUUGUGAUCAUGGUGCUAGUGCUGCUCUUCCCUGUGUACAUGAGGAGGAAACAGGCAUUGUGAGUGGCUCUUUGCAUUCACCUCCCUUCCAAGACCUUCGAGGUGUUUGGACCAAUGUUGUCUCAGACCUUUCUGCAGAUCCCAGAUUUAGGAAGAGGGC